rnacentral:rRNA from 1 species
GGGUUGUGAGGUUAAGCGACUAAGCGUACACGGUGGAUGCCCUGGCAGUCAGAGGCGAUGAAGGACGUGCUAAUCUGCGAUAAGCGUCGGUGAGGUGAUAUGAACCGUUAUAACCGGCGAUUUCCGAAUGGGGAAACCCAGUGUGUUUCGACACACUAUCAUUAACUGAAUCCAUAGGUUAAUGAGGCGAACCGGGGGAACUGAAACAUCUAAGUACCCCGAGGAAAAGAAAUCAACCGAGAUUCCCCCAGUAGCGGCGAGCGAACGGGGAGGAGCCCAGAGCCUGAAUCAGUGUGUGUGUUAGUGGAAGCGUCUGGAAAGGCGUGCGAUACAGGGUGACAGCCCCGUACACAAAAAUGCACAUAUUGUGAGCUCGAUGAGUAGGGCGGGACACGUGGUAUCCUGUCUGAAUAUGGGGGGACCAUCCUCCAAGGCUAAAUACUCCUGACUGACCGAUAGUGAACCAGUACCGUGAGGGAAAGGCGAAAAGAACCCCGGCGAGGGGAGUGAAAAAGAACCUGAAACCGUGUACGUACAAGCAGUGGGAGCCUCUUAAUGGGGUGACUGCGUACCUUUUGUAUAAUGGGUCAGCGACUUAUAUUCUGUAGCAAGGUUAACCGAAUAGGGGAGCCGAAGGGAAACCGAGUCUUAACUGGGCGUUAAGUUGCAGGGUAUAGACCCGAAACCCGGUGAUCUAGCCAUGGGCAGGUUGAAGGUUGGGUAACACUAACUGGAGGACCGAACCGACUAAUGUUGAAAAAUUAGCGGAUGACUUGUGGCUGGGGGUGAAAGGCCAAUCAAACCGGGAGAUAGCUGGUUCUCCCCGAAAGCUAUUUAGGUAGCGCCUCGUGAAUUCAUCUCCGGGGGUAGAGCACUGUUUCGGCAAGGGGGUCAUCCCGACUUACCAACCCGAUGCAAACUGCGAAUACCGGAGAAUGUUAUCACGGGAGACACACGGCGGGUGCUAACGUCCGUCGUGAAGAGGGAAACAACCCAGACCGCCAGCUAAGGUCCCAAAGUCAUGGUUAAGUGGGAAACGAUGUGGGAAGGCCCAGACAGCCAGGAUGUUGGCUUAGAAGCAGCCAUCAUUUAAAGAAAGCGUAAUAGCUCACUGGUCGAGUCGGCCUGCGCGGAAGAUGUAACGGGGCUAAACCAUGCACCGAAGCUGCGGCAGCGACGCUUAUGCGUUGUUGGGUAGGGGAGCGUUCUGUAAGCCUGUGAAGGUGGCCUGUGAGGGUUGCUGGAGGUAUCAGAAGUGCGAAUGCUGACAUAAGUAACGAUAAAGCGGGUGAAAAGCCCGCUCGCCGGAAGACCAAGGGUUCCUGUCCAACGUUAAUCGGGGCAGGGUGAGUCGACCCCUAAGGCGAGGCCGAAAGGCGUAGUCGAUGGGAAACAGGUUAAUAUUCCUGUACUUGGUGUUACUGCGAAGGGGGGACGGAGAAGGCUAUGUUGGCCGGGCGACGGUUGUCCCGGUUUAAGCGUGUAGGCUGGUUUUCCAGGCAAAUCCGGAAAAUCAAGGCUGAGGCGUGAUGACGAGGCACUACGGUGCUGAAGCGACAAAUGCCCUGCUUCCAGGAAAAGCCUCUAAGCAUCAGGUAACAUCAAAUCGUACCCCAAACCGACACAGGUGGUCAGGUAGAGAAUACCAAGGCGCUUGAGAGAACUCGGGUGAAGGAACUAGGCAAAAUGGUGCCGUAACUUCGGGAGAAGGCACGCUGAUAUGUAGGUGAAGCGACUUGCUCGUGGAGCUGAAAUCAGUCGAAGAUACCAGCUGGCUGCAACUGUUUAUUAAAAACACAGCACUGUGCAAACACGAAAGUGGACGUAUACGGUGUGACGCCUGCCCGGUGCCGGAAGGUUAAUUGAUGGGGUUAGCGGUAACGCGAAGCUCUUGAUCGAAGCCCCGGUAAACGGCGGCCGUAACUAUAACGGUCCUAAGGUAGCGAAAUUCCUUGUCGGGUAAGUUCCGACCUGCACGAAUGGCGUAAUGAUGGCCAGGCUGUCUCCACCCGAGACUCAGUGAAAUUGAACUCGCUGUGAAGAUGCAGUGUACCCGCGGCAAGACGGAAAGACCCCGUGAACCUUUACUAUAGCUUGACACUGAACAUUGAGCCUUGAUGUGUAGGAUAGGUGGGAGGCUUUGAAGUGUGGACGCCAGUCUGCAUGGAGCCGACCUUGAAAUACCACCCUUUAAUGUUUGAUGUUCUAACGUGGGCCCCUUACCGGGGUUGCGGACAGUGUCUGGUGGGUAGUUUGACUGGGGCGGUCUCCUCCUAAAGAGUAACGGAGGAGCACGAAGGUUGGCUAAUCCUGGUCGGACAUCAGGAGGUUAGUGCAAUGGCAUAAGCCAGCUUGACUGCGAGCGUGACGGCGCGAGCAGGUGCGAAAGCAGGUCAUAGUGAUCCGGUGGUUCUGAAUGGAAGGGCCAUCGCUCAACGGAUAAAAGGUACUCCGGGGAUAACAGGCUGAUACCGCCCAAGAGUUCAUAUCGACGGCGGUGUUUGGCACCUCGAUGUCGGCUCAUCACAUCCUGGGGCUGAAGUAGGUCCCAAGGGUAUGGCUGUUCGCCAUUUAAAGUGGUACGCGAGCUGGGUUUAGAACGUCGUGAGACAGUUCGGUCCCUAUCUGCCGUGGGCGCUGGAGAACUGAGGGGGGCUGCUCCUAGUACGAGAGGACCGGAGUGGACGCAUCACUGGUGUUCGGGUUGUCAUGCCAAUGGCACUGCCCGGUAGCUAAAUGCGGAAGAGAUAAGUGCUGAAAGCAUCUAAGCACGAAACUUGCCCCGAGAUGAGUUCUCCCUGAGACUUAGAGUCUCCUGAAGGAACGUUGAAGACGACGACGUUGAUAGGCCGGGUGUGUAAGCGCAG